AGGGAGAAGAGAGGGAUUGCAGAAUAUUCCUUCAGUUGAAUUUUUCCUUUUUAUUUAAGGCAAUCAUCAAAUGCUUAGAAGAUCGAGGGUUUUUCAUUUUACUUACAUCAUCAGCCUUACUAUCAGAACCAGAUUUUGGAAGCAAGCAGAUGGGUCUGCAUGGGUUACAUUUAUUUCAUUCACCCCUGUCAACAGGGGUGAAAGAUUUGAAAGUUGAAGAUGACAUCUCAAUGAAGGUGAUACCUAUUUUACCUACCCUUAAUUGUGCCCUGCUAGAAACAAAGAAAUCACUUCCUGAAGAAAGAAUCCAUCCAAACACAUUAGUAAAGCGUCAUUUCCAAGAAUUGUACAAGGCGGACAGAAGCCCUUCAUUGAGUGUUGCUCCGCAGGAUAGAAUGAAAGACCCUACAUUCUUGGGGAAACUGCCCAGUGGUUUUGACUUGAUUCCUCCAGCUGAAAAGUGCCCUUCAGAGUCUUUAACUCAG
rnacentral:sRNA from 1 species